rnacentral:rRNA from 1 species
CCUACGGGAGGCAGCAGUGGGGGAUAUUGCACAAUGGGGGAAACCCUGAUGCAGCGACGCCGCGUGGGCGAAGAAGUAUUUCGGUAUGUAAAGCCCUAUCAGCAGGGAAGAAGAAAUGACGGUACCUGAGUAAGCAGCACCGGCUAAAUACGUGCCAGCAGCCGCGGUAAUACGUAGGGUGCAAGCGUUAUACGGAUUUACUGGGUGGAAAGGGAGCGCAGGCGGCACGGCAAGCCUGAUGUGAAAGCCCGCGGCCCAACCGCGGGACUGCAUUGGGAACUACCGGGCUGGAGUGCCGGAGAGGUAGGCGGAAUUCCUAGUGUAGCGGUGAAAUGCGUAGAUAUUAGGAGGAACACCAGAGGCGAAGGCGGCCUACUGGACGGUGACUGACGCUGAGGCUCGAAAGCGUGGGGAGCAAACAGGAUUAGAUACCCUUGUAGUC